rnacentral:rRNA from 1 species
AUUGAACGCUGGCGGCAUGCUUUACACAUGCAAGUCGAACGGUAACAGGCCUUCGGGUGCUGACGAGUGGCGAACGGGUGAGUAAUGCAUCGGAACGUACCCAGAGGUGGGGGAUAACGCAGCGAAAGCUGUGCUAAUACCGCAUGUGAUCUGAGGAUGAAAGCGGGGGACCGAGCAGCAAUGUUUGGCCUCGCGCCUUUGGAGCGGCCGAUGUCGGAUUAGCUAGUUGGUGGGGUAAAGGCCUACCAAGGCGACGAUCCGUAGCUGGUCUGAGAGGACGACCAGCCACACUGGGACUGAGACACGGCCCAGACUCCUACGGGAGGCAGCAGUGGGGAAUUUUGGACAAUGGGCGCAAGCCUGAUCCAGCAAUGCCGCGUGCGGGAAGAGGGCCUUCGGGUUGUAAACCGCUUUUGGCAGGAACGAAACGGUGUCCGCUAAUACCGGGCGCUAAUGACGGUACCUGCAGAAUAAGCACCGGCUAACUACGUG